GGGCAAAUUACCGUCGACCAUGGGAGAUCCUCCAAUUCUAUCUCUCCUCGUUUCGCUAUUGUCGCUGGUUCCGAUUUCGCUGGCUUACAGUCCCGGAGACAUCGUUCCGAUGAGCAAGAUGGGACAGUAUCACUCGUCCAGAACAGUUUGGCACGAUAUGAUAGGUCGACAUUGUCCAAUUUUUGGCGUCAAUCGCGAGGUUUUGGUUCCUAUACCGAAACCGGUCGGCUACACAGGAGCUGAUCCGUAUAAAAUAUCCUUUCAAGUUGGAAAAGAGAAGUUUCUUGUCCCAUGGCUUCUUGUGAUAAAUCGCAAAAGUGCAGAAGUUCCAAU
rnacentral:misc_RNA from 1 species